GUAAGUGCGACCGAACAGGGAAGAGCUCAGCGCGUAGGCGGCGGAGCCCCACCCGAAAGGGCUGCGGGGAUGUCACUCCGCUUGCGAUGCCGCGUAUGGGGGGUUCCUUGAGUUGCUACCAAGAUCGCCUAAGUUAAAUCCUUGAGAGGUGCUCCAUAGAGGGUGAAAGGCCCGUACGGCGAUCUCAUUAACAGGCUUUUGCGGUAGCGCUCGCGGGUUCCCCUCGAGAGUCGGGUUGCUCGGGAAUGCAGCCCUAAGACAGGUGGUAAACUCCAUCUAAGGCUAAAUACUCCCACGAGACCGAUAGCGCACAAGUACCGCGAGGGAAAGUUGAAAAGAACUUUGAAAAGAGAGUUCAAGAGAGCGUGAAACUACCACGAGGUUAAAGCGAAUGGACACACGCAAUUCCGGAAAGCCGAAUCCAACCCCAGCUUCGCGGGAACACUGACGUCGGCCGACGGGUCUAAAAGGGUUUAAAAGAAGCUCGUCUUCUCCCUCCCGCUCGGUACCGGCGUAAAGAUCCUUGAAGAACGGGGUGUAAGUUCGAGCUCAGUAGGUCGUCUCGGCCGUUGUUGCGUUGUCGAAGGCCCUAGGGUCCGGGACCCGUUCUCAGAUCCGGAAGUUUUUCUUCUCCUCAACCUCUUUAAACGGAGGCGCCCGAGGUGAAUUAAGGUCCGGUCUGAGGGCGGUUACGCCUAAGUGUCCUGACGGACGCGACGACGGUGAUCAAGGUCGAACGGUUUCCGCGAGGGCGGUCGCUCCAGUAGCGAUUUAGCCGCAGUGUCUGAAAUAAAAGGCACCGAUAGCUAACCG
rnacentral:rRNA from 1 species